rnacentral:lncRNA from 1 species
ACCUUGUGUUAAUUAAAGAAAAUCCUCCAGCGGCUUCCAAAAUUAAAUCCGUAGUUGCUUCAAUUAGCGGCAUGCCAAUUAAUCAUCACCAGUUCUAAGUGUAAUUAAGAAAUUUGAUUACUCAAUUGCACUUAGAUGAUUAUGAGAAAAGUCCUAAAUUAAGUAGGUGAUCAAUCUAAUUGAUUUAGAAAAAUUCCUUGAACGAUAAAGCAAGCAACUCAAGAAUGCCAAAUCCAAAUUUAAACAAAAUAAAUCUACAAAUUCCUUGUGCUAGGUUUCAUAAGUGUCUAACUAAGCUUGAAUAUUCUAACCACUCAUACCAAUUGAAACGAAACAAGAAUCAAUUGUAAUCAGUAUAAAUUACAAACUGAGUCUUGCGGAAGAAAAUUCCUCCAAUCGUCGAGCUUCCUUUCUUCCGAUUAGCUGAAAUUUUGGACCGUUGCUUCCCUUGCUUGUUCUCGUUUUUGCUGAUUCAAUUUGAGGUUUUCCUUUGCUCGAGUGCCACGCCUCUCUGCUGCUAUAUUUUUUUCUCUGUUUUUCCGCACCUUUCUCAGCUGCUGUUCAUC